AAUCUUGAUUGACUUAUUUGAUUUAGAUAAAAUCUCAUCCUUAUGUGGAUGCUGUUCAUACUGAGGUAGCUAAGUAGCCAACCUAGUGUCUCACUUGCAGCGACAUUCUUCUAUCUUAAUAGGAUGCAAAGUCGACAGGUUUCUUUACAAGAGCGCACCUGAGCACCAGAAAUUUCCUCUUCUCGAGUCACCAUUCACUGGCAAGAUAUAUAGUGAUUCUAGUCGGGAUUCAUCUGAAAAAUGGGGCAGUUGUAAAUUGAGCUCAGAAGACAGCAAGUCCACAGGAUGCAAAAUCAACAGGUUUAUUUGCAAGAGUGCACUUGAGCACCAGAAACUACCCUUCUUCAGUCACCAGUCACUGGCAAGAUAUGUAGUGAUUCUACUCAGGGUUCAUCUGAAAAAUGGGGCAGUUGUAAGUUGAGCUCAAAAGACAGCAAGUCCACAGAUGAGGGUAAAUUCCUUAGCAAUCAAUCUAAUCGUUUCUGGCAAAAGCCUGAAAGUACUGCCAUUUUGGGAUCAGUGCAAAACUCUGAACAAAGUGGCGUUCUAGGAAGCUGGUCUUCAUCAAAGCUACUUUCACCCGGACCUGAAGUGGCAAUUUUAAAACCUCCAGGAACUGAUAGUUGUCUACUGAGUAGGUGCAAAGAACCAUAUCGUCCUCCCCCCUUUUAUAAGGCAAUGAAUCAUUCAGGGAUACUAAAUCACGACACCUCUAGCAAUGAAACAUCAGUCUGUGCUGAAUGCCCAAGCAAAGAGAAGGCAAUGGAGGGAAGCCUGAUAACAAACGAGCUUGGUGCAUCAAGAUGGACAACAUGGAAGACUGGAAAAUGCAGAUUGCCUUGGGAUCAGUUGGUUUACAUCGAAAAGGGAGAGGUUAGAGUUGUCCCUGAAGGUAGCAAACAGUAUAUGAGUUUCAAGGCUGGCGACCUUGUGUGUUACCCUAAAUGGUUCGAGGUUGACCUUGUGCGUUUCCCUAAAUUUUUCAGUUUUAAAUAGUGUAAGAUUUCAGUAAAGCUAUAAUACUUUAACUAA